UAUAUAUUAAUUUUUUUUCUUUUCAAAAAUGUGUACAAACAUGGCCAAUUCUAGGCAUAAGCAACAUAAGUAGACUGCAGUUGUCAACAAAUGUGGACAUAUCCUUGAGCGGCAGGCCAUCCCAUGGAAAAAAAGCAUCUCAGUCAUGGUUAAGCUUUAUGUGGUGGACUGACAUUAAAAGCAGCGGCAGCCAGGAACUUUUGCAGUGUCACAGGCAGACACAGGUCACAAGGGACAUGGGAUAGAUGGUUUGAUGUAGAAGGAGAGAGCAAUGGGGAAAGAUUAUCAGUUUUGCAGUAGUGUAAGAUGUAUGUGUGGGCUGACAGUGUAAUGACUGAGGAAAGAGAGGAGACAAAAAUGGUCACACAACUUGAGUGGGUAAGUGGUGAGAUUAAUGGACACAGCAUCUAGUAAAGAUUAGAUCAAGUGCAUUGCCUGCUUUAUAAGUAGGGCUUGACCACCUGAAGGAAUAUACACUGAUCAGCCAUAACAUUAUGACCAUCUGCUUAAUAUUGUGUAGGUCCCCCUUUUGCUGCUAAAACAUCCCUGACCCAUCCCGAGGCAUGACUCAACUAGACCUCUGAAGGUGUGCUGUGGUAUCUGGCACCAAGACGUUAGCAGUCCUGGCGCAUUAUCCUCCUGAAAGAGGCAAGUGCCAUCAGGGAAUACCAUUGCCAUGAAAGGGUGCACAUGGUCUGCAACAAUGCUUAGGCUUCAGGUUUGAGUGGAUAUUGUAAGGUCUGUACCCCGUUCACCUCACUCAUCUCUGGGAACCAGCGCACCUCCUAGACCUCAACCAUCCACUCCAUCUGAACACACCACUCUUCCCGCCUCACAAUCAGCUGAAUACUGAUCACUUGUGUCACUUCGUUUUCUCCCACUAUUUAGUUCAUUCACUCCCAGCUUUCCGAUUGUGAGGUAUUGAUUAUUUGUUUCCUGCAACUUUACUUAGCCCUUUCUGGAUUGAUUACAGUUUUUGGAUUUUUGUGUACCGACCUGCCCGAUCUACCUUUGACUCCGAUUCUCCAGUCUGGCUACUUUUGCCUGUCUUUUGGACUACUGUGCUUUGACCUUCUAUCUGACUGAGAUUUGGAGACCUGCCAAGCCCUUUUGAACCUCAGCCUGUAUCUGUGCCUUCCCAUGUAUGAGCCCAGCCUGUACUUCUGACCACGCUUCAGCUGUCACCUGUUAUCAAUAAAAGCAGUGCACACCGCAUGUGGAACCAC
ensembl:lncRNA